rnacentral:rRNA from 1 species
GAUGAACGCUGGCGGCGUGCCUAAUACAUGCAAGUCGAGCGAACGGACGAGGAGCUUGCUUCUCUGAUGUUAGCGGCGGAGGGGUGAGUAACACGUGGAUAACCUCCCUAUCAGACUGGGAUAACUACGGGAAACCGGAUCUAAUACCGGAUGAUCUUUUGAACCGCAUGGUUCAAAGGUGAAAUACGGCCUUUCUGUCACUUCUCGAUGGAUCUGCGCUGGAUUGGCUAGUUGGUAAGGUCACAGAUUACCAAGGCUACGAUGCAUAGCCGACCUGAGAGGGUGAGCAGCCGCCCUGGAAGUGAGACACGCCACAGAGGCAUAGGGGAGGCAGCCGGAGGGAAACUUCAGGAAGGGGCGAAAGCCAGAGGGCACUACGCCGCGGGAGUGAUGAAGGUCGUCGGAUCGUAAAACUCUGCUAUUAGGGAAGAACAUAUGUUUAAGUAACUGGGAACAUCUUGACGGUACCUAAGCAGAAAGCCACGGCUAACUACCUU